GAUGAACGCUGGCGGCGUGCCUAAUACAUGCAAGUCGAGCGAACGGACGAGAAGCUUGCUUCUCUGAUGUUAGCGGCGGACGGGUGAGUAACACGUGGAUAACCUACCUAUAAGACUGGGAUAACUUCGGGAAACCGGAGCUAAUACCGGAUAAUAUUUUGAACCGCAUGGUUCAAAAGUGAAAGACGGUCUUGCUGUCACUUAUAGAUGGAUCCGCGCUGCAUUAGCUAGUUGGUAAGGUAACGGCUUACCAAGGCAACGAUGCAUAGCCGACCUGAGAGGGUGAUCGGCCACACUGGAACUGAGACACGGUCCAGACUCCUACGGGAGGCAGCAGUAGGGAAUCUUCCGCAAUGGGCGAAAGCCUGGCGGAGCAACGCCGCGUGAGUGAUGAAGGUCUUCGGAUCGUAAAACUCUGUUAUUAGGGAAGAACAUAUGUGUAAGUAACUGUGCACAUCUUGACGGUACCUAAUCAGAAAGCCACGGCUAACUACG
rnacentral:rRNA from 1 species